UACGUAGGGUGCGAGCGUUAUCCGGAAUUACUGGGCGUAAAGAGCUCGUAGGUGGUUUGUCGCGUUGUCCGUGAAAACUCACAGCUUAACUGUGGGCGUGCGGGCGAUACGGGCAGACUGGAGUACUGCAGGGGAGACUGGAAUUCCUGGUGUAGCGGUGGAAUGCGCAGAUAUCGGGAGGAACACCGGUGGCGAAGGCGGGUCUCUGGGCAGUAACUGACGCUGAGGAGCGAAAGCGUGGGGAGCGAACAGG
rnacentral:rRNA from 1 species